rnacentral:lncRNA from 1 species
UCACACAAUUCACGUUAAAUACAGGAAAAACAUGGUAAAGAGAUUGAAGUAAGUACUACUUAAUAAAUUCAAAAGAAGAAAAAAGGGAAAAGAAAUGAUUUGCCUCCCAUUAAGUGCCCUUUUUUACUAUUCAAGGUCGGACUACGUUCUACUGCUGUUAGUCGUGUGCCUCGGGUAAGUUCAAGGUUACCUCUUAAAUGUUGUGUGCAAAAAACCCUCAUAGAAAGAUUUAAGUCGAUAUUCAUUUACCAUGCAAAUUUUGUUGGUGUUAAGACUCCUGAUUUCAAAUUUGCCAUAAGGGGAGAUGCUAGUGACAACAAAUGGUCCGAUCUAUCUCCACCUUAGCUUCCCAAGGAACAACUUAAGUCGAGAGUCAAAGAGGAGGACCUUCUGUCCUAUCAAGAAUUGUUUCGUUGAAAGAACUUGGUCAUGGAAUAUCUUGGUCUUCUCUUUAUAGAUUCUUGAAUUCUCAUAGGCCUCAAUUUGUAUUUCUUCUAGCUUUUACAGUUGCAACUUCCUAUGCUCGCCUGCCUCUUCCAACUUCAUGUUGCAGCUUUUGAUAACAAGUAUGUCUUAUGCUCUAGCUCAACAAGUAGGUGGCAUGCCUUUUCGAAGACUAGCCAGUAUAUGAACAUUUUAAUUGGUGUUUUAAAUGCUGUCCGGUAUGCCCAUAGAGCAUCACCUAGCCUUCUACUAUAAUCCUUUUUAUUCAGGUUGAUAGUCUUUUCU